AUACUGAUGCAUCUCCAUGGAUCAUAUUAAAGGUAUGAAUCCCCCCCCAUCGUAGUUUGACAAAAUAGGGGCCCCCAAACAGCAUCUUGCAUAGGGCCCGCCAAAAGCUAGA